rnacentral:lncRNA from 1 species
UAGAAUACAGUCUUCUAAACUGGAAGCCUGCAGCCCAAGAAGCAAUCUCAGUUUAUACUACUAGAAACUCAGGGGUUUUGAGAGGAAUUGGGUCAGAAGGCAGCUGCUGCCCUCCUGUCUGGGGAGUCUUCUUGGCUGAGGAGAGAAAGGAAGAGCUGCUCCAAAUGCCACCUCCUGCUUCAUUCUGGCAACAGUGUGGCACCAAGAGCUGGAAAAAAUGAGGGCUCAACAAUGAGAGAAUCAGUAGCUGGGAUUUUGGCUAAUUGCUGAUGCCUGAUAUUACGAAGAGGCUGGGACAAGGAAAGAGCUCUGUACCCCAUCUGAGAGAGAGGAAGAGACAUGCCCUGGACUAGGGUGUUACCAAUUUAA